UUUUAGGAAGAAAAGUCAGAAUAUUUUAGGAAGAAAAGUCAGAAUAUUUCCGAACAAAAUCGGAAUAUUUCAAGAAAAAAAGUCUGAAUAUAUCAUAAAAGGUCCUCCACUAAUCCAACCCCCGGCAGCGUUCUCCGUCCUCAUAUCUAAACCAGAGAAGGUAACGGUCGCGGUUUUAAACACGUGGUUAACGUUGUCAAACGGUCCCAGUUUGGUUAGGUUUCGACACCAAAACUACUGAGUUUAGUUGAUAAAAAUAUGGAGGUUUUCAAAUCAGACGUGACUUCACUUCCUGAAGGUUACCACGUGACGCAGAACGUGACCCAGAGCCUUCUGAGAUGAAACUUGCCUCGCAUUUGCCAACCACUCCCUCUGUUCUUCCCUUUCACAAUGAAAGCCCCCGACUGCCUAACUAUUUACCAGUCGGUGUGAAUAUUUAGAGGCCAGCAUUUCACAUCUUUGUUUGGUUUGUUGGUAACGCUCACAGUGUGUAAAGGCCUGAUUCAGAAUACUCAAACAUAACAUAACCUUCUUGUUGUAUGU